CCACCACCCGCUCUCCAGAUGAGGAAAGAGGCCUCCGAGGUGCCCAGCCCUGGUACAGUCAGACAAGGUAGCCAUUCUCCCCUCUCCGUGCGGUUGGAAGACCUCCUUUCCUGGCUGGCCCUGCCUGGCGGGCAUCAGUGUGUGGGCUGUCUCGACUGAGCUGCCCUUUCCGCCUGGAGAUCUGGGGUGAGCCCCCCUGCCCUUGCUGACUUCCACGAUACCCCCUCUUGGAAUCACUGAAGGAGCCAAAUUUCAAAGGCUCAGGAUGCUCCGUUGAUUUUCGAUGCAGAAGCCAUCUGGACCGUGCCCCGGACCAGUGUUCUGGGUUUACUUUGACCCUGACUGUCCCACUGUUGGACACUAGGUGCCAUGUCUAGUUGGGUUCGUCUGGUCACCAGAGCUGAACAGAACUAGCCAGGCCUGGGGGUGGAUGUCUUUGCCACUCCCUCAGGUGGCGGCUGGGAAGCGUGCUUUCCCAGGGUGGUUGCGCUUGUGGGGCACCGGCUCUCAGUGAGCUGGGCGUGCAGGCUUGCCUGCUCCCUGCCCACAGGGGCGUGGUGUGAGCCCCAGGACUGUGACUUGCUAGGGGCGGGGUGGAAGAGGUGAUGAAGGGGAUGGGACGCAGCCCAGGACUCAGAGGGUGGAUCCAGGGUAUUUGAGAUGGCACUGGGUUAUCUGGAGCUCUGAGUCAGUGACAGAUCUGGGAGCGCAGGCAGGCCCCUCAUUGCCCAGCCCUGGGGAGCUGUCGGUGGGCCAAAGGACAUAGGAGAGAGGGGGUGGGAAGGGAGGCACUGGGAGCCCCCUCACC
rnacentral:lncRNA from 1 species